GCGCCGGGAGUGUAAGGCGUAGCACCGCUGCCCGGAAAGCAGAAGGUGCAGGUUCGAGUCAUGCCUGGCCCA
rfam:Heligmosomoides polygyrus genome assembly, scaffold: HPBE_scaffold0008424